AUGAGUUGCAUGAGCUGGAACUGCCGCGGGCUUGGGAACCCGGAGGCAGUUCGAGAGCUUCGCAACGUUGUGAAGCAAGAAUGGCCAAGUCUCCUUUUUCUGAUGGAGACAAAGAUUUCAACAAAGAGAGUGGAAAGCUUGCAGAAUCUGCUAGGUUUUGCGGGGUGUUUUGCAGUAAACAGUCAAGGUUUGAGUGGGGGCAUCGGUAUGUUCUGGGCAGCGGAUGUGGAUGUGGAACUGAAAAACUACAGUGCCGCGCAUAUUGAUGUCAAGGUCAGUAAGAAAGCUCGAAACUUGAUUGAGUGGAGAGUGACAGGGUUUUAUGGAGCUCCACGGGCGGAAGAUAGACGCCAUAGUUGGAGGUUCCUUCGUCAGUUAUCUGAAAUCCAACAUGAAGCUUGGUUGUGCGUUGGGGAUUUCAAUGAAACUUUGUUUGCUUCUGAACACUUUUCUCGUGCCGAUCGGCCGGAAUGGCAAAUGAGGGCGUUCAGAGAAGCUCUUGAUGAUUGCUCACUCCUGGAUCUUGGUUGGAAAGGAGUGGAGUACACAUGGGAUAAUGGGCAGAGUGGGGAACCCAAUGUGAAAGCCAGACUCGACAGAGGUUUGGGAAACUUGCAGCUAACCCAGAUUUUCCCACACACUUCGGUGCGUCACAUUAGUACUACAGAGUCGGACCAUUGCUUUGUUCUGGUUGACUUACGUGAUAAUAGGGCUGCACAUCGACAAGGAGUAACACGAUAG
rnacentral:rRNA from 1 species